rnacentral:tRNA from 1 species
GCCAGCAUGGCUCAGUGGUUGAGCAUUGACUUAUCAACCUGAAGGUCAAGGUUCAAUUCCUAGUUAAGGCA